rnacentral:rRNA from 2 species
CUCUAAGUCAGAAUCCGUGCCAGAAAGCGACGACGCCUCCCGCACGUAUAGAUGGACACGAAUAGGCCUCUGGCUUAGCGUCUUAGCAGGCAAAGAACGCCAACGCUCUGGAAACGGGUGUUGGUACUUUGCGAAUUGUAAUUUCAGCACGAGCGGGGUCGAAUCCCUUGCAGACGACUUUGAUGUGCGAAAGGGUCCUGUAAGCAGUAGAGUAGCCUUGUUGUUACGAUCUGCUGAGGGUAAGCCCUACUUCGCCUCGAUUU